AUUGAACGCUGGCGGCAUGCUUUACACAUGCAAGUCGAACGGCAGCGCGGGGCAACCUGGCGGCGAGUGGCGAACGGGUGAGUAAUAUAUCGGAACGUACCCAAGAGUGGGGGAUAACGUAGCGAAAGUUACGCUAAUACCGCAUACGAUCUAAGGAUGAAAGUGGGGGAUCGCAAGACCUCAUGCUCCUGGAGCGGCCGAUAUCUGAUUAGCUAGUUGGUGAGGUAAAGGCUCACCAAGGCGACGAUCAGUAGCUGGUCUGAGAGGACGACCAGCCACACUGGAACUGAGACACGGUCCAGACUCCUACGGGAGGCAGCAGUGGGGAAUUUUGGACAAUGGGCGCAAGCCUGAUCCAGCAAUGCCGCGUGAGUGAAGAAGGCCUUCGGGUUGUAAAGCUCUUUUGUCAGGGAAGAAACGGUAGGGGCUAAUAUCCUUUGCUAAUGACGGUACCUGAAGAAUAAGCACCGGCUAACUACGUGCCAGCAGCCGCGGUAAUACGUAGGGUGCAAGCGUUAAUCGGAAUUACUGGGCGUAAAGCGUGCGCAGGCGGUUUUGUAAGUCUGUCGUGAAAGCCCCGGGCUCAACCUGGGAAUUGCGAUGGAGACUGCAAGGCUUGAAUCUGGCAGAGGGGGGUAGAAUUCCACGUGUAGCAGUGAAAUGCGUAGAGAUGUGGAGGAACACCGAUGGCGAAGGCAGCCCCCUGGGUCAAGAUUGACGCUCAUGCACGAAAGCGUGGGGAGCAAACAGGAUUAGAUACCCUGGUAGUCCACGCCCUAAACGAUGUCUACUAGUUGUCGGGUUUUAAUUAACUUGGUAACGCAGCUAACGCGUGAAGUAGACCGCCUGGGGAGUACGGUCGCAAGAUUAAAACUCAAAGGAAUUGACGGGGACCCGCACAAGCGGUGGAUGAUGUGGAUUAAUUCGAUGCAACGCGAAAAACCUUACCUACCCUUGACAUGUCAGGAAGUCCGGAGAGAUCUGGAUGUGCCCGAAAGGGAGCCUGAACACAGGUGCUGCAUGGCUGUCGUCAGCUCGUGUCGUGAGAUGUUGGGUUAAGUCCCGCAACGAGCGCAACCCUUGUCAUUAGUUGCUACGCAAGAGCACUCUAAUGAGACUGCCGGUGACAAACCGGAGGAAGGUGGGGAUGACGUCAAGUCCUCAUGGCCCUUAUGGGUAGGGCUUCACACGUCAUACAAUGGUACAUACAGAGGGCCGCCAACCCGCGAGGGGGAGCUAAUCCCAGAAAGUGUAUCGUAGUCCGGAUCGCAGUCUGCAACUCGACUGCGUGAAGUUGGAAUCGCUAGUAAUCGCGGAUCAGCAUGUCGCGGUGAAUACGUUCCCGGGUCU
rnacentral:rRNA from 1 species